rnacentral:rRNA from 1 species
AAAAACAUCGCCUCCCGUCUCCCAUGAGAGGUCCAGCCUGCCCAGUGGAUUUACUAAACGGCCGCGGUACCCUAACCGUGCUAAGGUAGCGCAAUCACUUGUCCCCUAAAUAGGGACUCGUAUGAACGGCACCACGAGGGUUGUUCUGUCUCCCCCCUUUAAUCAGUGAAACUGACCCCCCCGUGAAGAGGCGGGGAUAAGCAUAUAAGACGAGAAGACCCCAUGGAGCUUUAAAUUCACGCCACCUAUCCUCCAAACACCCUUAAAACCGGGUAGCCCUGGCCACUGUUUUAGGUUGGGGCGACCACGGAGUAAAACUCAACCUCCGAGACGAAUAUUUAAUUCAAGAGCAACAACUCAAAAAAUCAAAACUGACGUAAUUGACCCAAAAAAUCAUUUGAUCAACGAACCAAGUUACCCUGGGGAUAACAGCGCAAUCCAUUUCAAGAGCCCCUAUCGACAAAUGGGUUUACGACCUCGAUGUUGGAUCAGGGUACCCGGGUGGUGUAGCCGCUACCAAAGGUUCGUUUGUUCAACGAUUAAAACCCUACGUGAUCUGAGUUCA